rnacentral:rRNA from 1 species
AUACGUAUGGGGCGAGCGUUGUCCGGAAUGAUUGGGCGUAAAGGGUACGUAGGCGGUUAAUUAAGUCGAGUGUGAAAGGUCGGGGCUCAACCCCAUAAAGCAUUCGAAACUGGUUAACUUGAGAUGUGGAGAGGAAAGUGGAAUUCCUAGUGUAGCGGUGACAUGCGUAGAUAUUAGGAGGAAUACCAGUAGCGAAGGCGACUUUCUGGACACAUACUGACGCUGAGGUACGAAAGCGUGGGGAGCAAACAGGAUUAGAUCCCCUGGUAGUCCACGCCGUAAACGAUGAAUGCUAGGUGUCGGGGGUCAAACCUCGGUGCCGCCGCUAACGCAUUAAGCAUUCCGCCUGGGGAGUACGCACGCAAGUGUGAAACUCAAAGGAAUUGGCGGGG